rnacentral:rRNA from 1 species
UACGGAGGUGGCAAGCGUUGUUCGGAAUUACUGGGCGUAAAGGGCGCGUAGGCGGCCAUCUAAGUCAGACGUGAAAUCCCCCGGCUUAACCUGGGAACUGCGUCUGAUACUGGACGGCUUGAGUAUGGGAGAGGGAUGUAGAAUUCCAGGUGUAGCGGUGAAAUGCGUAGAUAUCUGGAGGAAUACCGGUGGCGAAGGCGGCAUCCUGGACCAUUACUGACGCUGAGGCGCGAAAGCGAGGGGAGCAAACGGG